CUGGCCCUGAUUCAAGGCUAGCAGCUUUCUGAUGCUGUUGGUUUCAAGCAGGAGACUUUCUAUGGUCUGUUGGCCAUUUCAGAACUUGGGCAGUGAAAUGGUCAAUUCAUUAGAAAGAACUAUCU
ensembl:snoRNA